GACGAACGCUGGCGGCGUGCUUAACACAUGCAAGUCGAACGGAAAGGCCCUGCUUUUGUGGGGUGCUCGAGUGGCGAACGGGUGAGUAACACGUGAGUAACCUGCCCUUGACUUUGGGAUAACUUCAGGAAACUGGGGCUAAUACCGGAUAGGAGCUCCUGCUGCAUGGUGGGGGUUGGAAAGUUUCGGCGGUUGGGGAUGGACUCGCGGCUUAUCCGCCUGUUGGUGGGGUAGUGGCUUUCCAAGGCUUUGACGGGUAGCCGGCCUGAGAGGGUGACCGGCCACAUUGGGACUGAGAUACGGCCCAGACUCCUACGGGAGGCAGCAGUGGGGAAUAUUGCACGAUGGGCGGAAGCCUGAUGCAGCAACGCCGCGUGCGGGAUAACGGCCUUCGGGUUGUAAACCGCUUUCGCCUGUGACGAAGCGUGAGUGACGGUAAUGGGUAAAGAAGCACCGGCUAACUACGUG
rnacentral:rRNA from 1 species